GACGAACGCUGGCGGCGUGCUUAACACAUGCAAGUCGAACGGUAAGGCCCUUCGGGGUACACGAGUGGCGAACGGGUGAGUAACACGUGGGUGAUCUGCCCUGCACCUCGGGAUAAGCCUGGAAACUGGGUCUAAUACCGGAUAGGACCACUGCCUGCAUGGGUGGGGGUGGAAAGCUUUUGCGGUGUGGGAUGGGCCCGCGGCCUAUCAGCUUGUUGGUGGGGUGAGGGCCUACCAAGGCGACGACGGGUAGCCGGCCUGAGAGGGUGACCGGCCACACUGGGACUGAGAUACGGCCCAGACUCCUACGGGAGGCAGCAGUGGGGAAUAUUGCACAAUGGGCGCAAGCCUGAUGCAGCGACGCCGCGUGAGGGAUGACGGCCUUCGGGUUGUAAACCUCUUUCAGCACCGACGAAGCGCAAGUGACGGUAGGUGCAGAAGAAGGACCGGCCAACUACGUGCCAGCAGCCGCGGUAA
rnacentral:rRNA from 1 species